UACAGAGGGUGCGAGCGUUGUUCGGAAUUACUGGGCGUAAAGAGCUCGUAGGUGGUUUGUCGCGUUGUUCGUGAAAACUCACAGCUCAACUGUGGGCGUGCGGGCGAUACGGGCAGACUAGAGUACUGCAGGGGAGACUGGAAUUCCUGGUGUAGCGGUGAAAUGCGCAGAUAUCAGGAGGAACACCGAUGGCGAAGGCGGCAUCCUGGACCAAUAUUGACGCUGAGGAGCGAAAGCCAGGGGAGCAAACGGG
rnacentral:rRNA from 1 species